GACGUACGCUGGCGGCGUGCUUAACACAUGCAAGUCGAACGGAAAGGCCCUGCUUUUGUGGGGUGCUCGAGUGGCGAACGGGUGAGUAACACGUGAGUAACCUGCCCUUGACUUUGGGAUAACUUCAGGAAACUGGGGCUAAUACUGGAUAGGAGCUCCUGCUGCAUGGUGGGGGUUGGAAAGUUUCGGCGGUUGGGGAUGGACUCGCGGCUUAUCAGCUUGUUGGUGGGGUAGUGGCUUACCAAGGCUUUGACGGGUAGCCGGCCUGAGAGGGUGACCGGCCACAUUGGGACUGAGAUACGGCCCAGACUCCUACGGGAGGCAGCAGUGGGGAAUAUUGCACAAUGGGCGGAAGCCUGAUGCAGCAACGCCGCGUGCGGGAUGACGGCCUUCGGGUUGUAAACCGCUUUCGCCUGUGACGAAGCGUGAGUGACGGUAAUGGGUAAAGAAGCACCGGCUAACUACGUG
rnacentral:rRNA from 1 species